UACGAAGGGGGCUAGCGUUGCUCGGAAUCACUGGGCGUAAAGCGCACGUAGGCGGCUUUCUAAGUCAGGGGUGAAAUCCUGGAGCUCAACUCCAGAACUGCCUUUGAUACUGGAGAGCUAGAGUCCGGAAGAGGUGAGUGGAACUGCGAGUGUAGAGGUGAAAUUCGUAGAUAUUCGCAAGAACACCAGUGGCGAAGGCGGCUCACUGGUCCGGUACUGACGCUGAGGUGCGAAAGCGUGGGGAGC
rnacentral:rRNA from 1 species